CCGCCGUCAUGAAAGCGUCACCUGCAGCUCGGGUUACAUGAAGGGCUUCGUGGCACUGGCUGCAUUGUGUGUGUCCGCCUUGACGGGUAAAUAACGGCGGUGCAACCAUGCGAGCGGAAAGCGAGAGGAAGGGGUCAAGGAUUCUUCUUUACUUCGCACAUAACGGUAUUCUCGCUUCUCUCCGACGACUGCCAUCGCUCCGGAGACAACUAUCAAAAAUGGGCAACAAAAGUUGUGUAAGAACGUGGACUGCCAUGAAACAUCCACAAGAAGUGUCUCUAUAAUAUCUAUAGAAAUAUUUCGCUUUGAUUGAUACACAUCGCUCCUUCAGGACGAGAGAAGGUUACCAGAAGUUUACCAUCAGGAGCUCGUGGCACGUUUCCAAUAUAGGUCGUUCGCAAGGCCGAUCGAUACGAACUGCACAGCACGUGCAUGCAUCGCUGCCACUUCAACAGAAUAGUGAAGGACAUUUUACUUCCAGUUGUUCUUGCAGACAGACAGAACUCACAAAGGACGUUUUAGUGAACGUGUUGAUUCAGAAUACAAUGUGGUGUGUGAUUGUGAGACUCCGUUUUGAAUUCAAAUAGACGUUGGUAUUCUUCCAA